rnacentral:rRNA from 1 species
ACGCUGACACCUACGGGAGCAGCAGUAGGGAAUCUUCCACAAUGGACGCAAGUCUGAUGGAGCAACGCCGCGUGAGUGAAGAAGGUCUUCGGAUCGUAAAACUCUGUUGUUAGAGAAGAACACGAGUGAGAGUAACUGUUCAUUCGAUGACGGUAUCUAACCAGCAAGUCACGGCUAACUACGUGCCAANCAGCCGCGGUAAUCUGAGCGGGCUGGCAAGGC